rnacentral:rRNA from 2 species
UCCGAUCAGACGAGUGCGUAGAGUUGAUCUGGCUCAGGACGAACGCUGGCGGCGUGCCUAAUACAUGCAAGUCGAGCGACACCAAAAGGGAGCUUGCUCCCCUGAGGUUAGCGGCGGACGGGUGAGUAACACGUGGGGCAACCUGCCUGUAAGACUGGGAUAACUCCGGGAAACCGGGGCUAAUACCGGAUAAUUCAUUUCCUCUCAUGAGGAAAUGCUGAAAGACGGUUUCGGGCUGUCACUUACAGAUGGGCCCGCGGCGCCUUAGCUAGUUGGUGAGGUAACGGCUCACCAAGGCCACGAUGCGUAGCCGACCUGAGAGGGUGAUCGGCCACACUGGGACUGAGACACGGCCCAGACUCCUACGGGAGGCAGCCGUAGGGAAUCUUCCGCAAUGGACGAAAGUCUGACGGAGCAACGCCGCGUGAGCGAAGAAGGCCUUCGGGUCGUAAAGCUCUGUUGUUAGGGAAGAACAAGUAUCGGAGUAACUGCCGGUACCUUGACGGUACCUAACCAGAAAGCCACGGCUAACUACGUGCCAGCAGCCGCGGUAAUACGUAGGUGGCAAGCGUUGUCCGGAAUUAUUGGGCGUAAAGCGCGCGCAGGCGGUCCUUUAAGUCUGAUGUGAAAGCCCCCGGCUCAACCGUGGAGGGUCAUUGGAAACUGGGGGACUUGAGUGCAGAAGAGGAGAGUGGAAUUCCACGUGUAGCGGUGAAAUGCGUAGAGAUGUGGAGGAACACCAGUGGCGAAGGCGACUCUCUGGUCUGUAACUGACGCUGAGGCGCGAAAGCGUGGGGAGCGAACAGGAUUAGAUACCCUGGUAGUCCCCGCCGUAAAGGAUGAGUGCUAAGUGUUAGAGGGUUUCCGCCCUUUAGUGCUGCAGCAAACGCAUUAAGCACUCCGCCUGGGGGAGUACGGCCGCAAGGCUGAAACUUCAAAAAAAAUUUGACGGCUGAAGACUGGCCGAGGGC